UACGGAGGGUGCGAGCGUUAUUCGGAAUUACUGGGCGUAAAGCGCGUGUAGGCGGGAGUGCAAGUCUGAUGUGAAAGCCCCGGGCUCAACCCGGGAAGUGCAUUGGAAACUGCAUUUCUUGAGUAUCGGAGAGGAUGGGGGAAUUCCCGGUGUAGAGGUGAAAUUCGUAGAGAUCGGGAGGAAUACCAGUGGCGAAGGCGCCCAUCUGGACGGUAACUGACGCUGAGACGCGAAAGCGUGGGGAGCAAAC
rnacentral:rRNA from 1 species